GACGAACGCUGGCGGCGUGCUUAACACAUGCAAGUCGAACGGAAAGGCCCUGCUUUUGUGGGGUGCUCGAGUGGCGAACGGGUGAGUAACACGUGAGUAACCUGCCCUUGACUUUGGGAUAACUUCAGGAAACUGGGGCUAAUACCGGAUAGGAGCUCCUGCUGCAUGGUGGGGGUUGGAAAGUUUCGGCGGUUGGGGAUGGACUCGCGGCUUAUCAGCUUGUUGGUGGGGUAGUGGCUUACCAAGGCUUUGACGGGUAGCCGGCCUGUGAGGGUGACCGGCCACAUUGGGACUGAGAUACGGACCAGACUCCUACGGGAGGCAGCAGUGGGGAAUAUUGCACAAUGGGCGGAAGCCUGAUGCAGCAACGCCGCGGGCGGGAUAACGGCCUGCGGGUUGUAAACCGCUUUCGCCUGUGACGAAGCGUGAGUGACGGUAAUGGGUAAAGAAGCACCGGCUAACUACGUG
rnacentral:rRNA from 1 species